rnacentral:lncRNA from 1 species
UGUAAUGAGAGCAGAAGGGGGCUAUGAUCCGAUCCCACCGCUGGUAACGCCAUAACUUCAGCAUUUGGAAAGGUAACUUGCCAUUCCAUUGUACAUACAGCUCUAUCUAAGCGCUUUUUCACCUGUUCUUCUCCUUCUCUAUUGUUGGUCCACGUGUACAUGCAUCAUUUACUAUCCAUGUACAUUAAAGAGCAAUCAUUUAGCAUGUCCCGAAAGGCUACAAUGAGGUGAUAGUCUGCUUCCCUUUUGCCUUCUUUCUCCCAAUUAUAUAGUAUGUCAUUAAAGUCCCCUAUACAUAUCCAUGGAAGUGAAUUAGAUGCAUGAAAGCAGCGAAGUUGUUGCCAUAAUUGUAAUCUCUCCUGGAAAUUUGUUGGUGCAUGUAGGAACAUUAUCCCUAUAAACUGUCCACUUGUAGGAUCCUCACAUUCCGUAUCAAUAAAAUGAUGCGAGCUGCAUUUUACUUUCACUUUAAACUCCUCUCUCCACAUUAGUGUUAAUCCACCCACAAUUCUUAUUGGCUAUACCAAGAACGACUUGUGGUAAUUAAGUCUCAUUCUCGCCCUUUCCACUAUUGUUUCCUUGUUUUUUGUUUCCAUCAAGAACACCACACUAAGUCUUUCAAGAGCCACUAAGGCUCUAAGCUCCUGGAACGCCAGGGGGUUGCCUAGCCCCUGAUAGUUCCAGCUCAAAAUCUUCAUAAUGUCACCGGUGGCUUAUUAGGGCUAGUCACCAAAGCCCAUUAUUUCCCUUCUUUCACCAGCUGAACAGGUGUCUCUAGUAACUCCAUCUCAUCGAUUAAUAACAUACUCGACUCUUCAACCUUCUUCUAUUUUUUUACUCUUAGAAGUUUUGAUCCCUUCUUGUUACUUCCUUCUGUUUCAAGUAGCCCUGCAUCAAUAGAAUCUAGCAAGUACAGUGGUUGUUUCCCUUUCCCUGUUUUAACUGUUGAUUCCCCUCUAUCUUCUUCUCUGUGCUCAGUUGAUGAUGGGUUUUCUGCCCUUUUUUUACUUUGAGCAAGGCCAGCAACUGUCUCAGGUUCUCUGCUACCAACAAUCUGAAGAGUAGUUGACUGGAUGGGGGUUUCAAGUACAUACUCCUCUUCCUCUUGAGUAGAGAUAAUUUUGCCAUAGAAAGCUUCGCAAUAAGGACUCAUUUCUCGUACCUCCGCUUUGAGCCAAGGCCCAUAUUUCCCUACCCUAUUUUCUACCCAUUAUGUUUUCUCAUAGGGAAUUUCUUCACAAAACGAGGCGUAGUGCCCUAGUCUUCCACAGGAAUAGCAAUAAUGAGGGAGGCGUUCAUAUUUAAACUCCACCCUUAUAUGUUUUUCUCCGAUCUUCACUAGAGCCCCUGUUUUUAAGGGUACCGAUAGUGGAAGUUCAACUUUUGCUUUCCCUGUUUUGUUUAGCAUAUUUCCUCUAGCUUCUAACUGAAUUUCCUUCACUUUUCCGACUUUUCCAGCAACAUCAGCGUAUACUUCUUCUAAAAUCCAUCCAGGAGGCAGUCCGAUAAUAUGGACCCAAAAAUCAUAGUGCAAGAAAUCAUAAUAGUGUUCCGGUAUAUCAAGUGAGCAUUGCUUGAGGACCAGCAAGUUGCUUGCAAAAGACCAUGGGCCAAAUUUUAUUAUCCGUUCUUUGUCCGCUUCAGUUUCGAAUACAAAAGAGAAGAAUCCAGGUUCCUUUUGGAAAAUUUCCAUUGAUUCUACUUUCCACGCAUUUUUCAUCGUGUUGCAAAAAGCAUGAAAGUUGACAUUCAAUUUCGAUAGUAAUUUACCAAAGAGAGUAUGUUUGCAUUCAAUAAUUUUAUUCGUUGGGGUUUCCUCCCUAACAGCAACCAUGUCAUCAUCAGACCAUAAAUGCCCUAAACUCUUGCAUAGAGCAGCAAUACGAAGUCGGUUUUCCUCCUUACUGUCCAUUCUACUUUGAUAUUGCAGAAUCAGAACUUGGUGGGGACAUACCUGCUUUGUCUGUUUUCCUAGGUUUUGGUCGAAGGGAGCUCCAGCAACAAGAUGGAGGGGAUCUCAGUCGCUUUGAAGGAUGGAGCAUUACGGUUCUCCAUUUAUCAGUCUAUGACUGGGAUUUCUGAAGAAACGAAGAUGGAGUAGGAGCAUCAAGCAGCCCUCCAGCAAUCGCGGGCUCUUUGGGGGAAUUUUCGUGCUUUAGGGUUUGUAUAUGGUUUUUCGGGUGUUGUAUUUCUAAUGGGUAUUCUAUCUUUAAGGGAGUGGGCGGGAUGGGUUCUUCAUUUUGGGAGAGAUGGAGACUGGAAUCGUGGGUUUUUAGGGUUUGGUUUGGCUAUCACCUUGGGGGAUAGGGAAGAAACUCCAUUGAAGGAGAGAAACCUCUACCGAACGAGAGAAUGCUGAACCGACUUUGCUAUGGCAACUUUGACAUGGUG